GCCGCCAUCGCAUAGUGGUAUUGCAACUGGCUUGAGACCAGUGCCCUUUGGGCUCCUCGGUUCGAUUCCGAGUGGCGGCG
rnacentral:tRNA from 1 species